rnacentral:rRNA from 1 species
CAGUCGCCGCGGUAACACGAAGGGGGCUAGCGUUGCUCGGAAUUACUGGGCGUAAAGGGAGCGUAGGCGGGCAUUUAAGUCAGGGGUGAAAUCCCAGAGCUCAACUCUGGAACUGCCCUUGAUACUGGGUGUCUUGAGUGUGAUAGAGGUAUGUGGAACUCCGAGUGUAGAGGUGAAAUUCGUAGAUAUUCGGAAGAACACCAGUGGCGAAGGCGACAUACUGGAUCAUUACUGACGCUGAGGCCCGAAAGCGUGGGGAGCAAACAGGAUUAGAUACCCGAGUAGUCCCUGUCUCUUAUAC